rnacentral:tRNA from 1 species
CAAAAUGUAGCUUAACCUAAAGCCCUUCGCUUACACCGAACCAAUGUUCGUUUGAACCGAACCAUUUUGG